CCGUCACUUCUACGGAGGGUUUUACUGAAGUCACUCCUCGGAAAGGCUUCAAGAUGAACCGCAGACGCCGCCGCUAUUGAUUUUAUAUUUUCAUUGUACUUUUCUUUUUUUCUGUUUGUUGUUUUCAUUUUGCUCUGGAGGUUUGGUUCAUGUCCCCCUCCAGUAUUUGUAUUAUGUUUUUUGUUUUAUCUACUGGUAGGGGUCCCGCCUAACCCCCCACCUCCGGGUGGAUUUCAAUAAAAAAAAAAAACCCUAAACCCUAAACCCUAAACCCUAAACCCUAAACCCUAAACCCUAAACCCUAAACCCUAAACCCUAAACCCUAAACCCUAAACCCUAAACCCUAAACCCUAAACCCUAAACCCUAAACCCUAAACCCUAAACCCUAAACCCUAAACCCUAAACCCUAAACCCUAAACCCUAAACCCUAAACCCUAAACCCUAAACCCUAAACCCUAAACCCUAAACCCUAAACCCUAAACCCUAAACCCUAAACCCUAAACCCUAAACCCUAAACCCUAAACCCUAAACCCUAAACCCUAAACCCUAAACCCUAAACCCUAAACCCUAAACCCUAAACCCUAAACCCUAAACCCUAAACCCUAAACCCUAAACCCUAAACCCUAAACCCUAAACCCUAAACCCUAAACCCUAAACCCUAAACCCUAAACCCUAAACCCUAAACCCUAAACCCUAAACCCUAAACCCUAAACCCUAAACCCUAAACCCUAAACCCUAAACCCUACUCUCCAGCCUCUCUACGAAACAAAAACAAACUUUUUCAUCAACGCAACAACAAUGCUGAAUCACUUCUUAGAAAACGUUUCCUCAUACGACGGCAACGUUCUGCUUGCAGCAAUUGUAUCACUACUCCUAGUAAUCCUCUUCGUUUUGCUUCUCCACAUCUAUGCAAAAUGGUUCUUAGCACAAGCCCGGCAAAGAAGAUCAAGAAGCUCCAUGUCUGUGUCCCAUGUCCUGCUCCCUGCUCGCUUUCACCAUUUCCAUUCAUUCACAUUCGACGUCGACAACAAUGCCAAUAACAACAUUAAUAAUACCACUAUAUCGAGCUCUUCUUCAAAGGGUCUUGACGCUUCGUUGAUUGCUUCAAUUCCAUUGUUUGUUUACACUUCAAGUGAGUACAAGCAAGGCUUGGAAUGUGUCAUUUGUUUGAGUGCUUUUGAAGAGAGUGAUGUCGGCAGGAGCUUACCAAAAUGUGGACAUGGCUUUCAUGUUGAGUGUAUUGAUAUGUGGUUGCAUUCCCACUUGAAUUGCCCCGUUUGCAGAGCCCCUGUUGCGGGUGAAAAGAAAGUUGAAAAUCUUGAUUCGACGGAGAAUAAUGAGGGCAAUUCCAUUGAAGCCGUAGCAAAUUCAGAAUUGUUGCAGGUUGUUGUUGAAGGGGAGCCAAGACUGGAGAGAGUGAGUGAUGCAUCAAAUUGUGAUCAUGAAGUAGUGGGAAUAACCGACUCUAUAUCAGCUUCUGCUUCUUCUUCAUUGGGGUGUUCUUUGAAAAGAAUGUUGAGUAGGAACAGAUCUGAGUGCAAGAUUUUUCCAUCAUCGACUACCAUUAAUGUCAACGAAACCGAAGACUGAACAGUGAAAGUUAAUUAAAGGGAAACUUUGUACAGAUUUGUAGUAAAAUUGUGUGUAUUGUAUCAUCUUUCUUUAAGUCUCUGAUGAUAGUUAAUUCGUUUGCAUGCAUUCUUGAUCUUAUCUUGACUGUUUUUAAGGCAUGUGGGUGAGAUUAAAAUUUAUGCUGCACUUCUUUGAGAUAAGUAAACAGUAAUCUAAAUCCUUAAUUAUUAAAAAAAAAAAAAAAAAAAAAAAAAAAAAAAAACCAAAAAAAAAAAAAAAAAAAAAAAAAAAAAAAAAAAAAAAAAAAAAAAAAAAAAAAAAAAAAAAAAAAAAAAAAAAAAAAAAAAAAAAAAAAAAAAAAAAAAAAAAAAAAAAAAAAAAAAAAAAAAAAAAAAAAAAAAAAAAAAAAAAAAAAAAAAAAAAAAAAAAAAAAAAAAAAAAAAAAAAAAAAAAAAAAAAAAAAAAAAAAAAAAAAAAAAAAAAAAAAAAAAAAAAAAAAAAAAAAAAAAAAAAAAAAAAAAAAAAAAAAAAAAAAAAAAAAAAAAAAAAAAAAAAAAAAAAAAAAAAAAAAAAAAAAAAAAAAAAAAAAAAAAAAAAAAAAAAAAAAAAAAAAAAAAAAAAAAAAAAAAAAAAAAAAAAAAAAAAAAAAAAAAAAAAAAAAAAAAAAAAAAAAAAAAAAAAAAAAAAAAAAAAAAAAAAAAAAAAAAAAAAAAAAAAAAAAAAAAAAAAAAAAAAAAAAAAAAAAAAAACCCCUAAACCCUAAACCCUAAACCCAAUAAACCCAAAACCCUAAACUCUAAACCCUAACACCCUAAACCCUAACACCCUAAAAACCCUAACACCCUAAACCCUAACACCCUAACACCCUAACACCCUAAAUCCUAACACGCUAACACCCUAACACCCUAACACCCUAAACCCUAACACCCUAACACCCUAAACCCUAAAACCCUAAACCCUAAACCCAAACCCUAAACCAUAAACCCUAAACCCUAAACCCUCAACCCUGAACCCUGAACCCAAAUCUCUGAACCCAAAUCCCUGAACCCCGAACCCUGAACCCCGAACCCUCAACCCUACACCCUACACCCUACACCGUACAACCUAAACCCUAAACCCUAAACCCCUAAAACCUUAACCCUAAAACCUUAAACCCUAAACCCUAUAAAUCCUAAACCCUAUAAACCCUAAACCCUAAAACCCUAAACCCUAAACCCUACAAACCCUCAAUCCAUAACCCUAAUACCCUAAACCCUUAAUCCUAAACCCUCAACCCUUAAUCCUAAACCCUAAACCCUCAACCCUCAACCCUCAACCAUCAACCCUAAACCCUAAACCCUCAACCCUCAACCCUCAACCCUCAACCCUCAACCCUAAACCCUUAAAUCCUAAACCCUAAACCCUAAAACCCUAAACCCUUAAACCCUAAACCCUUAACCCUCAACCCUCAACCCUCAACCCUCAACCCUCAACCCCUAAACCCUAACCCCUAACCCCUAACCCCUAACCCCUAACCCCUAAACCCUAAACCCUAAACCCUAAACCCUAAACCCUAAACCCUAAACCCUAAACCCUAAACCCUAAACCCUAAACCCUAAACCCUAAACCCUAAACCCUAAACCCUAAACCCUAAACCCUAAACCCUAAACCCUAAACCCUAAA
rnacentral:lncRNA from 1 species